CUUUAGAUUGUGUUGCAUUACCUGUGAUCGUUGAAGGGGUUCUAGCUUGACGCAUUCGUGAUCCUCCUAGUUUUCCAGUCUUCACUUUGGAGAUUGGAGGAGAAUUGUGUGGUGAUUGAAAAAAGUAGAAGAUGAAGGUUGAAGGGAUAAGAAGGUAGGUGAAAAGCUUCAGGUGGAAGAGAACGACAGCGAGUAUCUUCUUUCUCACUUGCACGUGUUUGCCUCUUUAGUCUUCACUUUGGAGAUUGGAGGAGAAUUGUGCGGUGAUUGAAAAAAGUAGAAAAUGAAGGUUGAAGGGAUAAGAAGGUAGGUGAAAAGCUUCAGGUGGAAGAGAACCACAACGAGGUUAGGGGAAUUGGUAUUGGGAUUGGAAUUCUUGGUGGAUUCAUUUAGGGUUUUGACAACAUCGUUUUGCCAAAGCUUCUUGCAGAGGUGAAAGGGUUUGUGAGGUUCGACGGUGAGGGUGCGGAAGCAGCUAGCAGUGACGUGCUGGUUGGAUUAGAGGUUGCGGCCAUGGAGGCGGAGGGUGGAGGAGUCUUUGUGGAAGUCGUGGCACGUGACUUUGAUGUCGAGGGUGAGUUUCACAUGUGAGGCAAUGUUCUUCUUUGUGGGUGAAUCGAGGUUGCAUGGACCUUGCGGGUGGUGUCAAAAAAUUUAAAUUUGAUUUUGAAAUAAAUAUUGACGAUUUUUGAAUCGUCACAAAUCGUGUUAUCAAAUAUUUAAUAGACACAUCAUCACUUAACUAACAGCAGGAAUCUAAAACAAAAAUUUUCAAAUAUUAAGGAUUCGAUUCGAAAGAAAAAUUUAUCAUGGAUCAAACGUAAAAAUUGAGUAUACAUCAGGAAUAAAAAAUAUAUUUAAGUCUAAUAAUAAUUAUGACAACAUUUUUUGUAUGCAAUUACAAAUCAUCAAAUAUAUGCUCAUCAUGAAGUAACACGCUUAAAAUAUAACGAAUAUAUAAACAAAUGAAUGGA